rnacentral:rRNA from 1 species
CCUACGGGAGGCAGCAGUGAGGAAUAUUGGUCAAUGGGCUUACGCCUGAACCAGCCAAGUCGCGUGAGGGAAGACUGCCCUAUGGGUUGUAAACCUCUUUUGUCAGGGAGCAAUUUGCGCUACGUGUAGCGUUAUCGAGAGUACCUGCAGACAAAGCAUCGGCCAACUCCGUGCCAGCAGCCGCGGUAAUACGGAGGAUGCGAGCGUUCUCCGGAUUUAUUGGGUUAAAAGGGUUCGUAGGUGGAAUGCCAAGUCAGCGGUAAAAUCGCGGGGCUCAACCUCGCUCCGCCGUUGAAACUGGCGGUCUUGAGUGGGCGAGAAGUAGGCGGAAUGCGUGGUGUAGCGGUGAAAUGCAUAGAUAUCACGCAGAACUCCGAUUGCGAAGGCAGCAUACCGGCGCCCAACUGACGCUGAAGCACGAAAGCGUGGGUAUCGAACAGGAUUAGAUACCCCUGUAGUC